GAGAGGGCGCACGGCCACACUGGAACUGAAACACGGUCCAGACUCCUACGGGAGGCAGCAGUGGGGAAUUUUGGACAAUGGGGGCAACCCUGAUCCAGCCAUGCCGCGUGUCUGAAGAAGGCCUUCGGGUUGUAAAGGACUUUUGUCAGGGAGCAAAUACUGCUUGUGAAUAAUGAGCGGGAAUGAGAGUACCUGAAGAAUAAGCACCGGCUAACUACGUGCCAGCAGCCGCGGUAAUACGUAGGGUGCAAGCGUUAAUCGGAAUUACUGGGCGUAAAGCGUGCGCAGGCGGUUUUGCAAGUCUGAUGUGAAAAGCCCCGGGCUUAACCUGGGAACGGCAUUGGAGACUGCAAGGCUAGAGUACGUCAGAGGGGGGUAGAAUUCCACGUGUAGCAGUGAAAUGCGUAGAGAUGUGGAGGAAUACCGAUGGCGAAGGCAGCCCCCUGGGACGAUACUGACGCUCAUGCACGAAAGCGUGGGGAGCAAACAGGAUUAGAUACCCUGGUAGUCCACGCCCUAAACGAUGUCAAUUAGCUGUUGGGGGUUUGAAUCCUUGGUAGCGAAGCUAACGCGUGAAAUUGACCGCCUGGGGAGUACGGCCGCAAGGUUAAA
rnacentral:rRNA from 1 species